rnacentral:rRNA from 1 species
GACAGAGGGGGCAAGCGUUGCUCGGAAUCACUGGGCGUAAAGGGCGCGUAGGCGGGAUGGCAAGUCAGUCGUGAAAUCUCUCGGCUCAACCGAGAAACGUCGGCUGAUACUGCCGUUCUUGAGGGAUGCAGAGGAGACUGGAAUUCCCGGUGUAGCGGUGAAAUGUGUAGAGAUCGGGAGGAACACCAGUGGCGAAGGCGGGUCUCUGGGCAUCUCCUGACGCUGAGGCGCGAAAGCGUGGGGAGCAAACGGG